UGAUCGGUUCUCAUUCGAAUGCAGGGUAAAGGAGGCGAGAGAUCCACAUCUCUAGCUGAACAGCCGCCCGAGGAAAUGUCUCCUCCCUACCCAGCCAGAAGUUUGAUCCUUCCGAUCGAAGAGGUACCGUAUCAGUUUCCAUUUGCAAGAAGUAUGGUUGGAAAAGGAUUGAAGUACUGGUGUAACACUAAUAAUUCUUACUAAGAUGUGAUUUCUAUGUCAAUGUGUAGAUGAUUCCUGAACAAUUUCUUAGGUAUUGGUAAGUCAUAUUGGAGAUAAAUUGAGUUGUGAUAAUGCUAUGAUACUAAUGAUGACAA